CGGCGAGCGGGUUAGCGCGAGUAGCGCGACCAGCCAGCACCAAUCGAGCAUUCGACUCGAGCCCUCCGAGUACGACGCACGCACCGCGCUCGCUGCCACAGCGAAACUUUACUCGUUCGACGCAAAGUGAAUAAAGUGGUGUACGAAACGUUUACUUAUUCUGAUACGUUCCAACUGACAUUUCUGGAUUUGUGUUGUUUAUGUUUGUUUUUGUGACCACAUUGGAGGUGAUUUUAUUUUCAAUACUGCCGUCUGUUUACGGGCUGCGGCUGACGAGAUCGGGCGCCCGUUAUAAUGUGACCGGCGCACGACGACGCGCGUCUCUCCUCAAGGUGUUUGCGAUGUGGUAUACGUGGACGACGUUACUGCUGGUGUCGAGUGCACUAGUAAGGGCGGAGCCCGGAACGGAGGGGCCGGCGCCGGCGCCUGUGGCGACCACCCGCCCACCGCCACGCACCCUCGACCGACAAGCCGCUGAACUUGCGUGGAAAUCCUGGCUCCAAAGCCCUGAAAGCAACAAUCAAAAUGCCCCACCACGAAGAAUAACCACCAAGUCUCUGUUUAUAACGCCUCUUAAUUGUCCUGAAGGACAGAGACUCGAUAGAAAUGGCUGUGUUCAGGUGGUGACAGUAAACAAAGAUGAACACGAACGUAUCCUACUGGAGCAUCUGAACGCUUGGUUUGUGACUUCGGCUCCUGGUGGAGACGUACUCUACGACUAUGGCGAUGCUGACCCUGGGCCACUGCAACUUUCUAUACCAAUUGGUUUAGAUCCACAAGCAGCACCACUUCAAGGCCAAGAGCCAUCUUCACAGGCUCAAGAACUACAACCAAACUAUAUGAAAGUUGACAAGAAAGAUACGAGUAAAGCAGAUGGUGACGUCAGCAUAGAAGCUGAAUUAGAACUUUUAAAACUUCAAAAUACAUUGAAUCCAAACAACACGGCAGUCAUUGAUAGUGCGUAUUUGGUAAAUCAGAAUAUUCUGUCACACAAUUAUCCUGACAAGCCCAAACGUGAUAGUUCAAGCGUCAAUGUAACGGAAACUGGAUCGCCAAGCAAUAUUACCGAUGAAGGACAAAAAGAAUUAGUUUAUGGACACGUCAACGUUGACCCCAUUCUUUAUAAUACAGAAAAACAAAAUCAAACAGAUUCUACAGAUUUAGAAUCGAGCAGCUUAACAGAGAUUGAAAAUAAUGCAACUUCUGUUAAUGAAGCUCAAAUAAACUUGUCUAAUUUAACAAGUGCAAAAACUGAGCGCACUAAUUCAAGCACAAAUAUUUUGAAAAAAGAUGGAGAUCAAAGCAAACUCAGCCCCGAAAAUGACUAUUCAGAUAUCGGCGAAGCUAUCAAAUUAAUAAGUCGAUAUGCCGAUGUCACUACUGAUGACAACUUUACCAAAGAACAAAAUAAUUUAAUGAAAGAGGACAGCAUUCUGGGUACCCGUACUAAGCUUCAGUAUCGUCGAAAUAGGCCAAAAGAUCAGAAUAGGGAAUCAGCACAUUCCGCGCCUGUUCAUACACCGCUUGAAAUGGCGUACAGUGAUAAAACCGCAACGCAUAAUGUGUUCCUCCCAAAAUAUGAGGUUUACUACAGAUAUCCCUGGCAAAGCCAACAUUCUCCGACGCCUCCACCAGAUUAUCCGUUCCGGCAUUUACAGGAUUACUGGCCUGGUGGGCGAAAUCAAGUAGGUGGUGUGUACAAUACCCACGAGAACCCUCGGCGCCAUCAUCAUUCGUAUCCACACAACUUUCGGCUACACAACUACCCACAUGCGGGAUACGCGGGCGUACCUCCAGCAUACCCAGAGCAACUAAAGGGAUAUAUUCAUCGUGCAGUCCAACACCAUGCCGACCCAACGCGAGCUCACACAAACAACCAGGACCUCUACAGCCUCCUUGGCCUCAGACAUUGGUUCAGUAGUGAAGGGACAUCAAAAAGAUAGCUUGCUUCUUGUUACAUUAGACAAUUCGAUGUUACCCGACGACGUAUAAUGGAAGCUAUGGGACAAAUGAAAAUAUGCUAUAACCACAUAUUCACCAUCAUGUUACAUUGGCACCUGCCUAAAUAAACUCUAUCUUACUUAAUUACUUGAAUGAUAGCAACUGUUUAGUUUGUUAUCAAAUCUUAUUUUAUUCGAUUUGAAGUCAUUUUUAUCCAUAGCUUUCAAUAUAUUAGCCUAUUUAUUUCAAAGCCAAAUAUUACAGUCAUAAUUAAGUUAUUAUUUUUUGUUAGACAUUUUAAGUUCUGUAAAUAUUUUCUAAUUUUAAGUGUUUUAUUUUGCUAUAGUAUUAUCGUUGUUUUAUAUUAUGUUAAUGUAAAUUGUUCUAUUGAUGAUAAUUUUCGAUUUAUAUUUAUUCGAUGUAUAUUUUUAUAUAAAUUUUUCGUUGUGAAUGUAUUUGUCUGUAGAUGUUUGAUGUUUCGUACCUAAUAAGUAUCGCAAAAUAUACCUACCUAAUAGUGUUAAUUUAAGUAUUCUCAAAAAGGAGUGGCACAUAAUUGCCGCCUUUUUUUCAAGAAACUAAGUAUUCGUUGCAGUUGUUAGUUGUAACCUAACUCAAUGUUUUGUGUUUAUGAUGUGUGUAGAUAUAGCUAGUAGGUAUUUGUUCGUAUUAUUAGUUCCAAACAAUCUAAAUGCAAAAUCGGACACUUAAAACCCACCAAAACAUGUACUUCCGCAGAAUGCAUUAAGUAUAAUAUUUUAUGUUUAUACUCGGCCACGUGUAUACUUGCCACACUAGUAGUAUGUAUAAUCAAUUAAAUAUGUAUAAGUUUUCUUAUCUCGAAUCGGCUGCUGGAUUACUGUGUAACUGGCGACAUAUUAUAGCUAAGUGAAAGCCGUGAUUCGAGAGUACUCGCAUUUCGAAAUACAUUCACAUUUCUGUACUUUCGUAAGGGCGUAAUACCUGCAUUGCCGAACUAUUACACUAUUACACAUUAACGAUCCCACCAAAGCUUAGUUUAAGUAUUUAGUUUUUUCUCACAUAAUAAUUCACUAUGUACCUAUUCGAAACUAUCUAAGGUAGGUGAAUAAAAUGUAUUUUUAUAAUCAACUUAAUGUUUAUAAUUAUCUAGAAAUAAUUGUUGGGCUCAAGGUGACCAAUCAUUUUGACAUUAUUAUCUACCUUUAAUUAAUAUAAUACAAGUUUUAAGUGCCAAAAUACGCACUCAUUAUUCCUUCGAAUUUUUAGAUGAAUAGCUUCAUAUCAUUAUUACUGAUUGUUAAAAUAAUAGGUACUUUUUCAGCAUUUUCUGUUUACCUGUUUAGUAGCCAUUGAGCCUGACUGAUAUAUCUGAACACUUACUAUAAGGUCAGAAGUUUAUCAAAUAUUUAUUAUAUUGGCCUUAUUUUGUUUAUAUUACCUAUUAAAUAAAAAAAAAUACAAAGUAAUUAAAACAUCUGACAAUUUGAAAAGUGAUAAUUAACAUAUAUUUUGGACAUUUAGCUACCUACCGCCUUUUAGAUAAUUAUGAUAAACUUUUGACUACAAUUACUUAACAUUUGUUUCAUUAUCUAUUAUCUAUACCAGUGUAUUAAUUGAUUAGAUGGUUAGAUUUUAUUUUAAUGCUGAAACUAACCAUGUAUCUCACAAUAUAUUUAUUGUUUGAAGUAUAUUGCUUUAAGUACAAAAACGGCCUCAAUCUUGCUUGAAAUAACAUACCUUUCGAAUUUUUCAUAUCCAUUUACAUUUAUUUUUCUAAACAGCCUGUUUUUGUACUAUGAGAAAUGCUUACUUUAAAAUGCAUAAAUUCUAAGGUUACUAAAUCAACUUUGAAAAAUCGUGAGGACUAUUGUACAAAUAUGAUAAGGUUUUAGUCAAUAGAUAUCAAUAUCAUGUCUUAAAAUGUUAUAUUAAAAUUAAGAAAUUUGCUUAUUCACUGGAUGAUAUUUCAUGAAAUAUAAAAACUAUAAAUUUAUCAAUGCCAGUAUUUUAUUGUAAAUAGUAAAUGUGUUACAUUAAAAUGGAAAUCAAAUUGA